AGCAGCCGCGGUAAUUCCAGCUCCAAUAGCGUAUAUUAAAGUUGUUGCAGUUAAAAAGCUCGUAGUUGAAUUUCGGGAUUGACGUGAUGGUCGUGCCUUAAGGGGUAUGAACUGUCGCAGUUGAUUUCUCACCUUCUGGAGAAGCAUGAUGUCCUUAAUUGGGUGUCAUGUGGAACCAGGACCUUUACCUUGAAAAAAUUAGAGUGUUUAAAGCAGGCAUUUUGCUCGAAUACAUUAGCAUGGAAUAAUAGAAUAGGACGGCAUGGUUCUAUUUUGUUGGUUUCUAGGAUCACCGUAAUGAUUAAUAGGGAUAGUUGGGGGCAUUAGUAUUCAAUUGUCAGAGGUGAAAUUCUUGGAUUUAUUGAAGACUAACUACUGCGAAAGCAUUUGCCAAGGAUGUUUUCAUUAAUCAAGAACGAAAGUUAGGGGAUCGAAGACGAUCAGAUACCGUCGUAGUCUUAACCAUA
rnacentral:rRNA from 1 species